GGAAAAUUAAAAUGAAGGAGAAGAGGCCGAUAGAUGGUGGGGUAGAAAGAGGCUGAAGGCUCUUCCAGGGCUUAAGCCAACACCAACACACAGGUCACACAGGGAUGGGGAUGGUGAGCAAAUACUCCCACAAGUCUGACUCUAGGUUUCUGAUGCUUCAUAGCCAACAGACCCUAAGCCAAGGCUCUGCUGUGAGGAUGAGCUCCCAGUUUGUUCUUGAUUUAUCACGUCCUGACCUGAGAGAUGGGAAUAUGGGGAGAGAACGGCUCAUUUCCAGCAUAAGAAGAACAUGUGAGAGUUAGUGACAGUCACUGACAUUCUAAAGCUAAGGACACAAGAUCACUGAACCACGAAGAUGAGGAAGAGAUGGUCACAUAGCAUAGAGUCACACAGCAUCCAUCACCCAGAUCAACAGCGCCAGCAACUUGAGCAGCUUCCGAAACUUCUGCAAAUACUACAGUCUGCUCUUGCAAACUAGCACACAUCAGCAAGAGUCUCAGUUGUCACUUCCCAAAAGCAAUUUUUCUUCUCAUGAAAGGUUCUGAAAAUUCACCUUAUUCUUGUCUGUUCAACAAAGGAGGAUUUCUGUCAGCCUUAUAUGCAAAUAACCAAUAAAACAUUUAAA
rnacentral:lncRNA from 1 species